AUCAUGGUUUUAUUCAAAACCAUGAAUAUGAAAAACUAAUUGAUGG
rfam:Selaginella moellendorffii unplaced genomic scaffold SELMOscaffold_46, whole genome shotgun sequence.